CAGUAGCCACGGUAACACGGAGGGAGCUAGCGUUGUUCGGAAUUACUGGGCGUAAAGCGCGCGUAGGCGGUUACUCAAGUCAGAGGUGAAAGCCCGGGGCUCAACCCCGGAACUGCCUUUGAAACUAGGUAACUAGAAUCUUGGAGAGGUCAGUGGAAUUCCGAGUGUAGAGGUGAAAUUCGUAGAUAUUCGGAAGAACACCAGUGGCGAAGGCGACUGACUGGACAAGUAUUGACGCUGAGGUGCGAAAGCGUGGGGAGCAAACAGGAUUAGAUACCCGAGUAGUCCCUGUCUCUUAUAC
rnacentral:rRNA from 1 species